rnacentral:rRNA from 1 species
CAGAUUGAACGCUGGCGGCAGGCCUAACACAUGCAAGUCGAGCGGCAGCGGGAAGUAGUUUACUACUUUGCCGGCGAGCGGCGGACGGGUGAGUAAUGUCUGGGAAACUGCCUGAUGGAGGGGGAUAACUACUGGAAACGGUAGCUAAUACCGCAUGACCUCGCAAGAGCAAAGUGGGGGACCUUCGGGCCUCACGCCAUCGGAUGUGCCCAGAUGGGAUUAGCUAGUAGGUGGGGUAAUGGCUCACCUAGGCGACGAUCCCUAGCUGGUCUGAGAGGAUGACCAGCCACACUGGAACUGAGACACGGUCCAGACUCCUACGGGAGGCAGCAGUGGGGAAUAUUGCACAAUGGGCGCAAGCCUGAUGCAGCCAUGCCGCGUGUGUGAAGAAGGCCUUCGGGUUGUAAAGCACUUUCAGCGAGGAGGAAGGCAGUCGUGUUAAUAGCAC